AUGCAUUACGAUAUCAAGCUUAAAUCAUGUAUUGAAGGAAAUAUUUUUUAUGGAGAAUACAAUAUCAGCAUAAACAUUCUUGACAAAACGCAACACAUAUAUUUACUUUCAAAAAAUUAUGUAUUGACAAUAUAGUUAUAAUUACAAAUUUUAAAAAAUAUGAAAAUGAUAAAGAUACAGUUUAUAAACCGACAUAUAAUACUGAAGAAGACCCAAUUGAUAUUUCCUUCAUGAAUGAGUUAUCACCAGGAAAUUACAUUUUAAAUAUAAAAUAUUUUGGCACUGCUGAUAAAGGCUUUAAAAUUUUCGACGCGAAAAAAGCUGGAACUGUUUGGGUAGGUGCUCCGCAUUUCCAGAUAAUAGGCGGCCGACAAGCGUUUCCAUGUUGGCAUUCAAAUAAUUUAUCGUUAGACGCAACCUUUAACAUUUCUUUGGGAUGUCAUCACUGCACUACUUUGUCAAACAUGCCAUUGCGAAAUACGGAAAUAGAUGAGAACAAUAUGUUAUGGACAAACUACAGUACCACAUCUGUAAUGUUGAUUCAUCACGCAACAAUGGUUGUGUCUAAUUACCUAUACCCCUGAUAUCAAAACACAAUACAUUAAAAUGUGGUGCAAAGUAGAAAUUAAAUAUCACAUGCAAUUUGCAAAAUAUGUAGCUAAAAAUAUCACGUUGUUUUUUCAAAUAAAUGGAUACGUUUGGACAAUAUUUGGAACGUGAAUCAUGUUGCAAUUCCAAAUUUCCAUGACAAAGCAUAACAGUUUUCGGACUUGUUUUUUAUAGGGAAACAGAUAUCAUCUACAAUAAAAAAUUAUGUCCUAUGCUAACAAAAUCGAAGUAGCUCAAUUAGUAGGACGUAAAGUGACACAGCAAUGGUUUAUUGACAUGAUGAACGAUCCGUCAGUGUCGGACUUUUGGUUUUAAAAAAGGUCUUAUUACAUGGCUUGCAACGUAUGCUGUCGAUCAGGUUAUUCUAAAUAUUGUCAAUGCUAUCUUGCUCUCAACUUCUUGCAAACGAUAUAAUACUUAAGCAUUUAUAUUGCAAGAUAUUCUUAAA